CACGUAGGGCGCAAGCGUUGUCCGGAAUUAUUGGGCGUAAAGAGCUCGUAGGCGGUCUGUUGCGUCCGCUGUGAAAACUCGGGGCUUAACCCCGAGCCUGCAGUGGAUACGGGCAGACUAGAGUGUGGUAGGGGAGAUCGGAAUUCCUGGUGUAGCGGUGAAAUGCGCAGAUAUCAGGAGGAACACCGGUGGCGAAGGCGGAUCUCUGGGCCAUUACUGACGCUGAGGAGCGAAAGCGUGGGGAGCGAACAGG
rnacentral:rRNA from 1 species